UAAAGGUUUUUAUCACAAGGCACAACGAAUGAUAUCUUAAAAUUUAAACAUAUGAACAUUAUUUAUUUUUUAGUAUUAUAAUUUUUAUUAUAAAUUUACAGGUAUUAUUAACAACACCUUGUUAAUUGGUUUUCUCUUGGGAUUUGAAAAUAAAAGUUUUUUAAAAUUUGCCAGGCUAUAAACGCUACCCGCAUUCCUAUGAUGUAAUAUUUAAAAAAUGAUGUAAUGCUCUCGGAAAACGAUUAAAGAAAGCUGCGUUAGAGAUAUCCUGCAAAAACCUCCGGAUAGAAAAGGCGUCUGUGACCGUGAAAAACUAAACCACAAUGACAGUCUUUAUUGUAUUUUUUUAAAUCUUUAAUUUGAAAUAUGUUUUAA